GGUGACUAGUGACAGAGAGCGGGAGGGGGUGACUAGUGACAGAGAGAGAGAGGGGGUGACUAGUGACAGAGGGAGGGAGGUUGUGAUUAGUGACAGAGGGAGGGAUGAGGUGACUAGUGACAGUCACCACCUCCUUCACUCUGUCACUAGUCACCCCCUCCCUCACUCUGUCAUUGUGUCACCCCCUUCCUCACUUUGUCACUAGUCACCCACUCCCUCCCUCACUCUGUCACUAGUCAUCC